AUCCAACUGACGAGUCCUAAACAGGAUGAAACGCGUGUUCUGGAU
rnacentral:hammerhead_ribozyme from 1 species